UCAAAUAACACACAAGAGGGAAGCCGGUUAGAAUCCGGCACAGUGCCCGCUACUGUGAUGCCCGUUUCUCCCACCGGGAGAUUCUAAGAAAGAUUCUUACACCACUGUCCCGAGGGACGGGAAGGUAUUUUUCUUGGGCGUAGUCAGGAGACCUGCCAAAGCAAAA
rnacentral:ncRNA from 1 species